rnacentral:rRNA from 1 species
GACGAACCGAGCGAACGUUGUUCGGAAUCACUGGGCUUAAAGGGCGCGUAGGCGGGUGCUCAAGUCCGGGGUGAAAUCCCACAGCUCAACUGUGGAACUGCCUCGGAUACUGGGCGUCUCGAGUGUGGUAGGGGUAUGCGGAACUAUCGGUGGAGCGGUGAAAUGCGUUGAUAUCGAUAGGAACUCCGGUGGCGAAGGCGGCAUACUGGACCACCACUGACGCUGAUGCGCGAAAGCUAGGGGAGCAAACAGG